GUUAGGUGCAAUGGUGCUGAGGAUCUUUACAUAUAGAUAAUAAUGAGCACAGUGCUGUAUAUAAUGAUACGGAGUAUGUUUAUAUACAGAUCACAGUUAACACACUAUAUAGAAAUAUGCUGAGCAUUUUUACAUGAUGAUAGCAUGUUGCAUUGUGCAAUCAGAGCGGGAAGAGAUGAUGUGGGGUAAUGUGGCAACAUCUUGCCAGUUAAAAUGGAAUAUAACUAUCCUUCCAG